AAAAAAUUCACAUAGCCCCAAGCCAUUACCUUUAUGUUACAACCGUUACAAGCCUGUUUCCAUUACCCGCAACCAUGGCCACAAUUUGAAACCAUGCCUAGAAUGUCCAUUGUUAGGGAUGCUUUCGUGAGCCAGACCUUGUAAAACACGGGCAGCAGCUAGGAAAUGCCAAUGAUAGUGGCAAAAAGGAAGACAAUGAUUGAUUUGGCAAUUAAAAGAU
rnacentral:misc_RNA from 1 species